AUUGAACGCUGGCGGCAUGCCUAACACAUGCAAGUCGAGCGGAUGAAGGGAGCUUGCUCCUGGAUUCAGCGGCGGACGGGUGAGUAAUGCCUAGGAAUCUACCUGCUCUUGGGGGAUAACGUCCGGAAACGGGCGCUAAUACCGCAUACGUCCUGAGGGAGAAAGUGGGGGAUCUUCGGACCUCGCGCUAUCGGAUGAGCCUAGGUCGGAUUAGCUAGUUGGUGGGGUAAAGGCCUACCAAGGCGACGAUCCGUAACUGGUCUGAGAGGAUGAUCAGUCACACUGGAACUGAGACACGGUCCAGACUCCUACGGGAGGCAGCAGUGGGGAAUAUUGGACAAUGGGCGAAAGCCUGAUCCAGCCAUGCCGCGUGUGUGAAGAAGGUCUUCGGAUUGUAAAGCACUUUAAGUUGGGAGGAAGGGCAGUAAGUUAAUACCUUGCUGUUUUGACGGUACCAACAGAAUAAGCACCGGCUAACUUCGUG
rnacentral:rRNA from 1 species